GACGAACGCUGGCGGCAUGCCUAACACAUGCAAGUCGAACGAGACCUUCGGGUCUAGUGGCGCACGGGUGCGUAACGCGUGGGAAUCUGCCCUUGGGUUCGGAAUAACAGUGAGAAAUUACUGCUAAUACCGGAUGAUGUCUUCGGACCAAAGAUUUAUCGCCCAGGGAUGAGCCCGCGUAGGAUUAGCUAGUUGGUGGGGUAAUGGCCUACCAAGGCGACGAUCCUUAGCUGGUCUGAGAGGAUGAUCAGCCACACUGGGACUGAGACACGGCCCAGACUCCUACGGGAGGCAGCAGUGGGGAAUAUUGGACAAUGGGCGCAAGCCUGAUCCAGCAAUGCCGCGUGAGUGAUGAAGGCCUUAGGGUUGUAAAGCUCUUUUACCCGGGAUGAUAAUGACAGUACCGGGAGAAUAAGCUCCGGCUAACUCCGUG
rnacentral:rRNA from 1 species